rnacentral:lncRNA from 10 species
GUCUAGCUCUCUGACCCAGGAUGGAGUGCAGUGGUGUGAUCACAGCUCAUUGCAGUCUCCAACUCCCAGGCUCAAACCAUCCUCCAGCCUCAGCCUCCCAAGUAACUGGGACCACAGGCACGUACCACCAUGCCUGGCUAAUUUUGUAAGUUUUUUGCGGAGACAAACAAUGUCUUGUCACGUUGCCCAGGCUAGUCCCGAACCCCUGGGCACAAGUGAUCCUCCUGCCUCGACCUCCCAAAGUGCUGGUGUGAGCCACUGCCCCCCCUCUGGGAAUCACUUUAGAUUCAGACAGAUCUGGGUUUGAAUUUGUUUGUGUUACUUACUAACUGUGAGACCUUGGAAAGUUAGUUCACCUGUCAGAACAACAAGAGUACCCAACAUUUAUUGAGCACCUCCUAUGUGCCAGACACAGCUCUGUGUUUAAAGGCUUUAUUUAGCUCAUUUAAUCCUCAAGGUAACCUUAGGAGGGAGGAGUUAUUCUCCUCAUUUUACAGAGGAGGGGACAGAGGCUCCAGCUGCCCUAGAGACAGAUUCACCUCUCUGAGCCUCAGUUUUCUCAUCUGUAAAAGGGGACAAGCAUAGUAACUCCCCGUGGGCCAUUCACUCUCAUGAGUCUUGCCUCUUUCCCGAUGAGGUCGCGGAGGCUGUGAGCAGGUUCCUGGCUGCCCAGAGACAUUCAGGGUGGCUCUUCCCCUAAGGCCCUUCAUCCUUGGAGUACCCUCCACGAGAGGGCAGCUCCAGUUGGGCUUACCUGGGAUGGAGGUAUAGGAGGAAGGUCUGCCCUGCAGCUGGAAACCUCCCUCCUAAGGGACAAGCUUGCUGCCCUGGCCUGCCCUUGAGGGUCAGAGGGUGGGGCAGGCAGAGAGAAAAGCUAUAUCCGGAGAGGGGACUGAGGGGCCACAGUGAGGCUGGGCAGGGCUGGGAGUGACUGCCCUCCACCCUUCACACACACCCCUGGACAUUCAUUCUGCAAAUCAGUACCAUUCCAGGCACUGGAGCCAUCAGAGUACAAAACAGACGCAAACUUCUGUCCUCUUGAAGUCCACUCUGGGAGACAGGCGAUGACACACACAACAUAUGUAUCAAAGAGAUGGGGAUCUCACUAUGUUGCCAAUGCUGGUCUUGAACUCCUGGCCUCGAGCAAUCCUCCUGCCUUACCCUCCCAAAGCGUUGGGAUUACAGAUGUGAGCUACCACGCCCAGCCUGUUCUCUCCUGAAGUCAUUUCAGUAUCACUUUGGGAAGCAUGGAACUAUUGGAACUAGAAGGGUCUUCAAUUUUAAUUCAGGAAAUAUUCAUUGUCUGCUAAAAUAUGUCAUAUCAUAUCACCUCUUGCUUAAAAGUGUUUGGAGAUCAAAUUUAGAAAACAAUUCCAGGCUCUUCACCAUCAAUACCCAAAAUGUCCAUGUCCAGCCAGGCUGGCUGCUUCCUAGUUUCCAAUUGCUCUGUGAUCUCAGGGCUCUUGCACUUGCUCUUGCCUCUAUCUGGAAUGCCCUUUCUCUUGUUCUUCUGGCUUUGUUGCAUUCUUCAGGUCCCAGCUCAAAUAUUACCUUCCUAGAGAGACUCCCCUUGCCUCUCCACACCCCGCCAUGCUCUUCCCAACAGUCUCACUCUGCAUUUCCUUCAUAGCAUGGAAUCAUUGUGUUUGUGUGCCUGUGUGCUUGUUCUUUGUCCUGCCGCCCACUAGGAUAUAAGCUCUGUGCAAGCAGGACCUGGUGGGCACAGCAGCCAAGCAUCUGGGCAGAAGGGCCCAGAGAAGGGCAGCCUGGGGAGGGCAAGUGUUUGGGCUGUCCCCAGACAGGGAAGCAGAUGUGUCUGUGGGGCCCCAGAGAGCACAGGAUCUCCAGAAAGAUAAACUUAAUAUGAGAAAAUGUCUUUUACACACUCCUAGUGGUUCAGAUGUGGAAAGGGCUAUGUCAUAAGGUAGUGAGUUCCCCCAUUCUAGGAGCUAUGCAAGUUGAGAUAGGACAACCUCCCAAUGUGCUGGGGCUGUGUAGAAUGGAUGAGAUAGGUAUUCAUUCGCUUGCUCAUUUACCCAUUCAUGCAUUCCUCCAUUCUAUCUCCUAUCUAUCCAUUUAUUCACUGACUACAAAGUUUACCGUGUGGUGGGCAACCUUCAUGACUUUGGCCACACCUACAUGCCAUCUGUAUUAUUAUCUACUUAAUAUCCUCAACAUGUGCUGGUGGUGGUGGUGGUGGUGGUGCUGGUGGUGGUGCUGGUGGUGGUGGUGGUUUUGAGACAGAGUCUCGCUCUGGGGUGCAGUAGUGCAAUCUCAGCUCACUGCAACCUCUGUCUCCCAGAUUCAAGAAUUCUCAUGCCUCGGCCUCCUGAGUAGCCAGGGUUACAGGCAUGCACCACCACGCCCGGCUAAUUUUUUUGUAUUUUUAGUAAAGAUAGGGUUUUGCUAAGUUGGCCAGGCUGUUCUCGAACUCCCGACAUCAGGUGAUCCACCCACCUUGGCCUCCCAAAGUGCUAGGAUUGCAGGCGUAAGCCACCAUUCCCAGCCCUCAAUAUGUGUUUCUAAAUCAACUUUGAGGUAUAAUUUACAUACAAUAAAAU